rnacentral:rRNA from 1 species
AGUGAACGCUGGCGGUAGGCCUAACACAUGCAAGUCGAACGGCAGCACAGUAAGAGCUUGCUCUUACGGGUGGCGAGUGGCGGACGGGUGAGGAAUACAUCGGAAUCUACUUUUUCGUGGGGGAUAACGUAGGGAAACUUACGCUAAUACCGCAUACGACCUACGGGUGAAAGCAGGGGAUCUUCGGACCUUGCGCGAUUGAAUGAGCCGAUGUCGGAUUAGCUAGUUGGCGGGGUAAAGGCCCACCAAGGCGACGAUCCGUAGCUGGUCUGAGAGGAUGAUCCGGCACACGGGAACUGAGACACCGUCCAGACUCCUACGGGAGGCAGCAGAGGGGAAUAUUGGACAAUGGGGGGAAGCCUGAACCAACCAAGCCGCCUGGGUGAAGAAGGCCUUCCGGUUUUUAAGCCCUUUUGUUGGGAAAAAAAAGCCACCGGUUAAAACCCCCCUGUUCUGGCGGUACCCAAAGGAUAAGCACCGGCUAACUUCGUG